rnacentral:rRNA from 1 species
AUUGAACGCUGGCGGCAGGCCUAACACAUGCAAGUCGAGCGGAUGAAGGGAGCUUGCUCCUGGAUUCAGCGGCGGACGGGUGAGUAAUGCCUAGGAAUCUGCCCGGUAGUGGGGGAUAACGUCCGGAAACGGGCGCUAAUACCGCAUACGUCCUGAGGGAGAAAGUGGGGGAUCUUCGGACCUCACGCUAUCAGAUGAGCCUAGGUCGGAUUAGCUAGUUGGUGGGGUAAAGGCCUACCAAGGCGACGAUCCGUAACUGGUCUGAGAGGAUGAUCAGUCACACUGGAACUGAGACACGGUCCAGACUCCUACGGGAGGCAGCAGUGGGGAAUAUUGGACAAUGGGCGAAAGCCUGAUCCAGCCAUGCCGCGUGUGUGAAGAAGGUCUUCGGAUUGUAAAGCACUUUAAGUUGGGAGGAAGGGCAGUAAGUUAAUACCUUGCUGUUUUGACGUUACCAACAGGAUAAGCACCGGCUAACUUCGUG